rnacentral:misc_RNA from 1 species
GAUGAAGAACGUAGUGAAAUGCGAUACGUAAUGCGAAUUGCAGAAUUUCCGUGAGUCAUCGAAUCUUUGAACGCACAUUGCGCCCACUGGUAUUCCGGUGGGCAUGCCUGUUCGAGCGUCAUUAUCCUCCCUCAAACCUCGGGUUUGGUGUUGGACCCAAGUUGUGUGAACAACUGGUCUCAAAGACAAUGACGGCGUCCGUGGGACCCUCGGUGCAACGAGCUUUUAAACGAGCACGCGUCGAGUUUCAAGGACCUUCCGGGCCGGUCUCCUUCUUUUUAUUUACAAAGGUUGACCUCGGAUCAGGUAGGAAUACCCGCUGAACUUAAGCAUAUCAAUAAGCGGAGGA